rnacentral:rRNA from 1 species
UACGGGGGGGCGAAGCGUUGUUCGGAAUUACUGGGCGUAAAGGGCGCGUAGGCGGCCUGCUAAGUCGAACGUGAAAUCCCCAGGCUCAACCUGGAAGACUGCGUCCGAUACUGGAUGGCUUGAAUCCGGGAGAGGGAUGCAGAAUUCCAGGUGUAGCGGUGAAAUGCGUAGAUAUCUGGAGGAACACCAAUUGCGAAGGCAGCUCGCUGGGACGUUACUGACGCUGAGACGCGAAAGCGUGGGGAGCGAACGAGG